rnacentral:lncRNA from 1 species
AUUUGUAGCUAUUGGACAUAAUUCAAGAUUUUUUUUUUUUUUUAAUGAAAAUAGAUUUGGUAAGAAUUUAUCAUGCAUCCACACUAGUUGCAUUGCAUGAAUGAAGACGCCUUGCGUAGAUUGUUGCAAGGGCACUUUGGAAGUUUUAUAGCAUGCAUGCCAAAAGAUGCCUUGAGUAGAGUGUAUAUACAAGGUUUAACAUUUCAUAUACUCUGAAAGAAACUUGAUGAAUUCAGUUUUCUUGUUUAAACACAUGUACCCGGUCAUUUUAAAUUAUACAACUAUGGACUUUGGGAACUUUUCUUUCCCAACCAAUUAUGACAAAUCUUUUUGUGAUGCGGACUUCCAUUUAUUAUUUUAUGUUUCCAUUUGGACUAUUAUUUAUGUUCUAUUAUUGGGCUUGUAUAAUGGGUAUGGCCCAAGCCCUUUACCUUUAGGAUUUUGUUUUACUAUUUAUAUUUGAUUUGUUGUUUAGUUGGGACAGUUUGAUAAUUAUGAUGAAUUGAGAUUGAUUGUGGCGUCUCCUUCCUUUCCCUUCCCCUUUCCCUCUGAAUUUCUGCUUCGUCUCUGGAUUCUUCCCCCUCUUUCUCUCUGGUUUUUCCCCUUUCUUGCUGUUUUAUUAUUUUAUCUUGCAUCAAAUUUAGUAUCAGACUCGAAACUUGGAUAAUUUCUCUCCUAUACUCCAAAUUUCAUCCUACUUUCUUCCUCUUUUUCUGUUGAAUCUUCUUCUUCCCCCAUUCUCCCCAUUAAUUCCCACUCUCUUAUAGAUCUGUUUUAUUUCUACAUUAAUUUUUCAAGUUGGUGCUGCAUCAAAUUUGGUAUCAGAGCCGAACCUUGGGUAAAUUUUUCUCAUAAUCCAAAAUUUCUUUCUAUUUUCUUCCCAAAAUUUGUUGGAAUAGCACAAGUGAAAAUAUUUAGUGUAAGAGUAGCACUUUUCAUUCUUUCAAUUUUCUUUGUGAGAAAAAAAGAUGAAAAAAAGGAGAGUUACUAUUCACACCCGGAAAAAAAUCGGUUUUUAGUAUUUUGGUCAGUUUCUGCAAAAAAAAAUCAUUAAAGAUCUACUGCAAUUUCAAUUCACUUGUGUUGUUCAUCCUUGCCAUUUUCAUCACAAAUUGGCACCAUAUAACACCAACAAUAAACCCUAACCCACCUUCCCAAUUCUUACAAAGCCCAGUGAUGAGUGUAAUCCACUCAUUAAACUAAAGCUUCUAAAUCGAGUUUUUUGAUGUGUUCUUGAGCAUUUUUGAACGUUUUGAUGUGUGUGUUAGUGUUGUUUUGCAGUUUGGACAAUUCUCAAGAAAAUAUCACUAUUGGGAGCCGGUGAUGAGCAAAAAUGAUGAUCAAUGAAAUGGAGCAUGAAUAAGCAAGUAUUGAAUAAGAUUGGAGUGGGAAAUAGGCUUGGAAAAACAAAGAGAAGAAAAAGCAAACAGAAGCCUGGGCGCCAAGGAAGAAAAAAAAAAAGAAAAGAAGCAGAACAACGGGCGCCACGGCGCCAGACCUGGGCGCCAUGGCGCCCAUGAAGAAAAAAAAAGGAGCAGAGACCUGGGCGCCACGGCGCCAGACCCGGGAGCCAUGGCGCCCGUUUCCAAAACAGUAAAAUCCGGGUUUUUAAGUAUUUUUUCGGCCCAAAAAUCACACCCUAACCCUUGAGGACCCUUAGAAAAUAUAAAUACCCAGCUGAAGAACAAGAGAAGGGGGUGGACGGCUGAAGAAAGGAGGCAAGGAUAUACACUAAUUGAGAGAAGAUCGAAGGGAUUUUGGAGAAGAAGAAGGAAAAAACUGAGAAUCAAGCCACAAGAUUGAGAAAUAGAGCAACAACCUGAGUUUUUUCUUAUCUUUCUCUUCUUCAUGAAAUUUAAUUUGUGUUUUAUCAUGUUCUUCUUUUCAAUCAUGAACUAAGUUAUUAAAUCUAGGGUUUGAUGUAGCCUAUUUGAG